rnacentral:lncRNA from 1 species
GCUGUUGACUUCUAUUUGCAAAUAUUUUUGUUCAGAAUUUUUGCAUCUAUAUUCAUUAAAGAAAUUGUUCCACAAUUUUGUUUUCUUGUAAUGUCCUUAUCUGUCUGUAGUCUUAGGGUGAUGUUGGUUUCAUAAAAUGUGUUGGAUAAUAUUCCCUCCUCUUCAAAAUUUUGGAAGAGUUUAAAGAGGAUGGUAUCAGUUUUUUUCAAAAUAUUUGUUAGGAUUCACAUGUGAAGGCAUCUGCUCCAGGAUUUUCUCAGUUGGAGAAUUUUUUUUUUUAAGAUUUAUUUAUUUAUUUAUUUCUCUCCCCUUUCCCCACCCCAGUUGUCUGUUCUCUGUGUCUAUUUGCUGCAUGUUCUUCUUUGUCCGCCUCUGUUGUUGUCAGCCGCUGCGGUGUGGGGUGGCGCAGCGGUGGCGGUCUGCGUCUGGCUGAGGGACUGGCGACCGUCGGCUCCUGCGAGCUUCUGACGCUCGAUGAAGCCGGAGGAGGACGAGAGGCGGUUCUUCCCGGAGGCGAAGGAGACACGGUUCCAGAGCUGGAUCCCUACAAGGACUCAAAAGAGCCUGGGGAGGACACUCAGUUGAAACAUUAUAAGUGAGCAUUUUGUUUGGGUUAAAAUCUGGGCUCCAGACCAGUAAUCUCUGAAUAA